GACGUAGGGUGCGAGCGUUGUCCGGAUUUAUUGGGCGUAAAGAGCUCGUAGGCGGCUCGUCGCGUCGACCGUGAAAACCCGCGGCUUAACUGCGGGCUUGCGGUUGAUACGGGCGGGCUAGAGUUCGGUAGGGGAGACUGGAAUUCCUGGUGUAGCGGUGAAAUGCGCAGAUAUCAGGAGGAACACCGGUGGCGAAGGCGGGUCUCUGGGCCGAUACUGACGCUGAUGCGCGAAAGCUAGGGGAGCGAACGGG
rnacentral:rRNA from 1 species